GUGGGGAAUAUUGCACAAUGGGCGCAAGCCUGAUGCAGCCAUGCCGCGUGUGUGAAGAAGGCCUUCGGGUUGUAAAGCACUUUCAGCGGGGAGGAAGGCGGUGAGGUUAAUAACCUCACCGAUUGACGUUACCCGCAGAAGAAGCACCGGCUAACUCCGUGCCAGCAGCCGCGGUAAUACGGAGGGUGCAAGCGUUAAUCGGAAUUACUGGGCGUAAAGCGCACGCAGGCGGUCUGUCAAGUCGGAUGUGAAAUCCCCGGGCUCAACCUGGGAACUGCAUUCGAAACUGGCAGGCUAGAGUCUUGUAGAGGGGGGUAGAAUUCCAGGUGUAGCGGUGAAAUGCGUAGAGAUCUGGAGGAAUACCGGUGGCGAAGGCGGCCCCCUGGACAAAGACUGACGCUCAGGUGCGAAAGCGUGGGGAGCAAACAGGAUUAGAAACCCCGGUAGUCC
rnacentral:rRNA from 1 species